rnacentral:rRNA from 1 species
UACGAAGGGGGCUAGCGUUGCUCGGAAUUACUGGGCGUAAAGGGCGCGCAGGCGGAUAUUUUAGUCAGAGGUGAAAGCCCAGGGCUCAACCUUGGAACUGCCUUUGAUACUGGGAGUCUUGAGUUCGGGAGAGGUGAGUGGAACUGCGAGUGUAGAGGUGAAAUUCGUAGAUAUUCGCAAGAACACCAGUGGCGAAGGCGGCUCACUGGCCCGGUACUGACGCUGAGGUGCGAAAGCGUGGGGAGCAAACAGG